ACCUGGCUGGCUUAGUUGGUAGAGCAUCGGACUCUUCAUCCUGGGGUUGUGGGUUCAAGUCCCAUGUUGGGCA